rnacentral:tRNA from 1 species
GAGGGUAUAGCUCAGUGGUAGAGCGCAUGCUUAGCACGCAUGAGGUGCUGGGUUCAAUCCCCAGUGCCUCCG